rnacentral:lncRNA from 1 species
CAGACAAACCCACAUUGGAUACAGAAUUGAGGGCUUCGAAAAGUGGUACAAGAGACAUUUCGUGAAAAUCGAUAAGAUUUGGCACAGUGGUGUUACCAAAUAUCUUCAGUAAAAGGGGUUAGCCCCCAAGGACAUUUAUGCUGAAACAGCUGUAAGGGUUGAUGAUUAAUUUGCUGUUAAUAAUAAACAAUUAUUAACUUACCAA